GAAAAUCUGCAGGUCCGUUCCCAGAACAGUGGGUCACUCUCUCUGCCCUCCUUCAGCCCCUCUCACACGAUCCCACCCCCACAUGUUCUGGGGAUGAGGGGGAGAAGCCCCACCCUCUGUUGCUGGGUUUAUGUCCCAACAGUCGCAGCCGUUCGCACCGGCAUUAGUCAAAUCUCCAUCAAGUUGGUGAGUAGUGUGUGUUUGUGUGUUCGACUGUGUGUCCUGUGAUUGUGUGACCUUUUUUUCUUCCUACUUUUGUGCGAACUCGGCCUACUGGAAAAGCCCAAUUACUAGUUGUCAUAGCAACAGAGUUUAGCUCAGUGUAAAAACCAGCCUCGGUGUUUCCUCAGUGUCGCCGUGAAGCAAAAGUUCAUAGAUUCUUCCUGGCAGAGUUGAUCUCCUUUCAUAACAAUUCCAGGUAAAAAAAAAAACAC